rnacentral:rRNA from 1 species
GACGAACGCUGGCGGCGUGCUUAACACAUGCAAGUCGAACGGAAAGGCCCUGCUUGCAGGGUACUCGAGUGGCGAACGGGUGAGUAACACGUGGGUGAUCUGCCCUGCACUUCGGGAUAAGCCUGGGAAACUGGGUCUAAUACCGGAUAGGAGCCAUUUUUAGUGUGAUGGUUGGAAAGUUUUUUCGGUGUAGGAUGAGCUCGCGGCCUAUCAGCUUGUUGGUGGGGUAAUGGCCUACCAAGGCGGCGACGGGUAGCCGGCCUGAGAGGGUGGACGGCCACAUUGGGACUGAGAUACGGCCCAGACUCCAACGGGAGGCAGCAGUGGGGAAUAUUGCACAAUGGGCGCAAGCCUGAUGCAGCGACGCCGCGUGGGGGAUGACGGCCUUCGGGUUGUAAACUCCUUUCGCUAGGGACGAAGCUUUUUGUGACGGUACCUAGAUAAGAAGCACCGGCUAGCUACGUG